UCAAGAAAAAGGCAAACCAAGGCGAAAGCCUGGGACGCAAAGCUUCCGGCCUCACACCGUUGAAAAUAUUCAUCAGGUGUUGGUAGCGGAGCUACCGAU
rnacentral:ncRNA from 1 species